rnacentral:rRNA from 1 species
UAGCAGAGGGUGCAAGCGUUGUUCGGAAUUAUUGGGCGUAAAGGGCGCGUAGGCGGUGCCAGCAAGUCACCUGUGAAAUCUCCGGGCCUUAACUCGGACCUGCAGCGAAACUGUGGUGCUGGAGUGUGGGAGAGGUGCGUGGAAUUCCGGUGUAGCGGUGAAAUGACGUAGAGUAUCGGGAGGAACACCUGUCGGCGAAAGCGGCGCACUGGACCAUGAACUGACGCUCGAGGCACAGAAAGCGUGGUAGCGAACAGG